CUUUUUUAUUUUAAAGGAAAGUAAUAUGUGUAAGGUUAGUUCAAGGGAUACAAUUGUCACUAAAGAUAUUGAUCUUGGAAUCAAAGCAUUUCGCUUAGCCCAUGUACCUGCAGCUGAAUUUUACUGAAAAUAUUUGGAAAAUUAAUUCAUUAAUUAAUGCCAGCUCAUCAUCUCCCUAUCCUCUCCCUCCUUCCUUAUACUACUAGAGAGAGCAAGUCAUUGGACAGUCAAGGCAAAUAGUCAUUUUCUAGAAAUUUGGAUCCUGAGAGCUGUGAGUGUUACAGUGAAGUGGCCCAUAUUUGAUCUCCUUCCUCCUUCCUCAAGGUUUAGGCAGAAUCUAGCCUCUUUAUCUUUUUACUCUGGGAUUCCUAUUUUAAGUCAUCUAACAGAGGACUAUUGCUAACUCAGGGACAACACUUCCCUCUGACAAAAAUUUCAUUUAUUUAUCGUACAUUCAUUGAGCUGCAUUUAUCAUAAAACAAAACAGGAUUUGCAUACAAUUUGCUUUUUAUUGAUUGUUACCUCAUUUUAUCCUUUCAACUUUCAUGUAAAAUAUCAUUCCUGGUUUUAUUUUAAUAGAAGAAAAAAACCAGAUUAAAAAUGUGCCCAUGGACGUCGAACUGGUGCGUUCAGUGGCAAAGCUGGAAUUCAAAUAUCAGGACUCCUGCUCUGGCCUUCUUCUCCAUGAAACUUGGAGGAAAAGAAAAAGGAAGACACUCUCAUUGGUUAGAGGAGAGAACACAAUUCCAUCAGUGGAAUCAGUAAUUCAAGCUACUGCUUAUGCCAGUUAAAGGCCAAUUUGGGGAAAGGUGGAUGCCCUGGGCUCCAUCUGCCAUUCAACCACGGAUUACGACCUUGUACGGAUGGACUUUCAGCAGCAGGAACCCAAAAUCACUGGUGAAAUAGGAAAACUAUUGUACAGAUAUUAGAAAAAUGGGACCUUCACAGUCAUCAGAAAGUUAUCACUUAAUGUCAUUUGUCAUCAGUCCUUCUUUCUUGUGAUUGGUUAUAUGUUUGUAUACAUGCACUUGAAAUGUGUUUUUAAAAGAGUGUUAUAAGGGGUAUUUUUCCAAUAAGUACAAUAAAUAUUCAAUAAUAGAACAUUGAUAUCUCAUUAUUACUAUUGGUCACAUCUAUAUUAUGAGGCAAAAUUAAAGUUGAAAUGCAAUAAAAGCCAUAUUUUAUCAUAAUAGAUAUUUUUCAUUUUCUGAAAUAAUAUAAAUAAUGUGGUUGGUUAAAGUAUGUACACAGAGGCUAUCAAUUAAGAUGUUUUAAAUUUAAUUAAAUAUUAAAUAAUAAAAGCCACAAGGGGAAGUAAGGCAAUUUUUUCUUUAACAUGUAACACUUUAAAAUGUUUCCUGAUAAUUAUAGAAAUAUCGACAUCAGAUCAAUCUUCAUACCUCAGAAAAUUAAAGGUUAAAUACUGGGGACUAUUAAAACAAAUAAAACUGUUUAUUCCACAACUUUGCAUAGCUGAAAAAAUCUUCUGUCAUGUCUAGAAACACAUUUCUGACAUAUGCAUACCUCACCAGCUUCUCUCAGGUUAUUAUACACCUCCAACCACAGCCUCAUGGUGGCAGGCAGUCAGUAAGAAGGACCCCAGUGAUCCCUGCCUCCUGGUAUCCACAGUCUGGGGUAAUCUCCUUCCCUUGAUUAUAAGCCUGUGGCUUACUUCUAGUCUUUAAGAUUACAGCAAAAGCAAUGGGAUGUCACUUCUGUGAUAAUGUAAGAUUGUAACUUCCAUCUUGCAAGCCAAUUCUCUUCUUUGCUAGCUUUGAUGAUGCAAUAUGCCAUGUUGGUGAGGCUCAUGUGGCAAAGAACUGAGAGUCCUGUAGGAACUAAGUCCAACAGCCAGGUAGGAAGGAGUCCCUCAGUCCCACAACCCAAAGAAACUGAAUUCUGUCAACUAACAAGCACGUAAGUGAGCUUGGAAGUGACUUCUUCCCCAAGUGAGUCUUCAGAUGAGGUCCUAGCCAACUUUUUGAUUGCAGCUUGUGACAGACCCUGAAGCAAAGGACUCAGCUAAGUUGUGUCCUAAUUCUUCUACUGUGAGAAAAUAAAUGUGUGUUUUUAAAAAUGCUAAAUUUGUGUUAAUUUGUUAUUCAGUAAUAGAUAGCAAAUACAUGCACGCACAUACAAACACACACAUGCACACAGUAUUUGGCUUUCAUAUUGAGGAGAACACAGUGAGUAGCCCCAUUUCAUGUGGCAUUUAAGGUAGCACAAUUACUUUUCUUUGUCUGUGAUCUACCUUUGUGUCCUUCAGGUUCUUUUUCAGGCCUUUGCCCUGAGUGUGUGGGGGACCAAAGGGAUGUCAUACUAUAUGAAUGGUAUUGCAUAUUCAUAUCCUUGGAUCUGAAAGUAGUCCUAGAAUAUAUCCUAAGGAGAUAAUCUAUCAAGAUUAGAGAAUUUCCUUCACGAUGUUGUUUAUUGUGGCAAAACUAGGAACAACCUGAAUACCACUCCUCCAAGAAGUUAUUGAAUAAUAUUGGUAACUCUGCUCAGGAAAAAUGCAAACAAACCACUAAAAAGAAUAAAAUAAUCUUUAUUGAUAUGAAAAGAUGUUUAAUGUUUACUAUGACAUUUUUAAAAGAAGUUAAAAAUCUCAUUAAAAACUAGUUUAAAAUCCACUCUUAGCCCAUACUUGUAUUAUAGAUAACAUACGUGCAUUUUUUUGAAGUAGAGAAAUUUCUGGAAAAACA
rnacentral:lncRNA from 1 species